AAAAGGGUGUAAAGUGGGUUUUAGUUUUACUCCUUUUAUGUGUCUUUGUUUUUAAGCAGUUUAUUGUAAUAGUGACACAACUUUACAUUAAGUUGUGUUAAUAACAACAAAAUACUACUUAAUGAUACUAAUGCUGCGUUCCAGGCAGGUUUUGAGCCCGCAAAUCACGACUUCAAAACCACGACUCAGUCAAGACUCAAAACUUGGAGUAGGACUACGCGUUGCCUGGAACGCAGCAUAAUAUUUAUUAUAGCGUAUCUUCUUUCCCGAUGACACGACGUAGCUUGCAUUGCAUCUUGGACACAGUAGUCUAUAAACUUCUACAACGUUUGAGACGCUUUGUGAAAAGGACUACAUUUCCCAUAAUGCCCCGCCCAACGCUCGCUGGAGAAACCGGAAGCGCGAAUUUGAAACGCUGAACCAACGACGCGGGACCUUUUGUUUGUAUUGUGAAGAGCUGUAUAAUAAAGCAAGAUAUUGUUACAACUUGGAAAACAACAAACCAAACCAGUCAGAGACAGCGAUGUGAGGACAUCAACAGAAAAUAAAAUGCUGUAAGAAGUCCUUUAUGUGCACAGAGAUGGAGGUUGAAAAGUUACUAAAACACGCUCAUAUUAGGCACGGUUCCUUGAAUCGUGCCUGAGCUCGCUUUCAUCAUUAGGAUGCGAUUGUUUGCAGAACACAAGAAGUAAAGCACUGUCAAUGUGAGUCAAACAACUGCUCGACUGAGGAGUUGAAGAGAGAAGGGCAGCUGCACAUUUCUAAAAUUGUGAAAGCACUCUGUCGGCUACACAACUCGGAGGCAAAUUGUAGGCACUAUCACCAGGAGCAGAGAUUAAGCUCACCACAUAAUGGGAAGGACACCUCAUUUUUAGUGGGAGCACUGGCUACAAGCCUGGAGUUGCACAAUGAAGGCCUUGAUAAAAAUUAAUUUGUGGCCUGCAAGACAUUACCAGAGCUAGCCAGUGUGGCCACAUCACGGAGUGACCAGAGGAGGAAGAGGUUGUGUUUCAGCUCUUGGAGUCAAACCCAGUGUACUAGCUGUGGACAAAGUGGGCUUCUGAAGGGGAAUCACCACUGACAUGAUUUCAGAUGAAGAAUACAAUGCUGUUGAUGGAGUGUCGGGUGGAUUGUGAGACCUUCAUCGUUCUGCAGUCAGGCGCUCCGCAAUCUGUGUGCUAAGCUGCAGCUGCAACUGUGUGUGUUCAAACUAUGCAGCGUUGCAUCACAGUCUGCAAUCUGAAUUGCUGUCUAACAGAAUGCCACCGCUUACCUAUGACCCCAAGGCAGCAAAAUGAACACAUUUGAUGCCAAAUGUGAUCCCAACAACAUAAUCGUUGGCUUUUUUUUGACUUUGUGUGUAUUUAUUUUUCCUAUGCUUUAUUAAUAAAACUCUUAAAUUUUAUCAACAUGUCUCUCCCAAAUGUCUGUUUUCUUUCCCUAAUAUUUUU